rnacentral:rRNA from 1 species
UAGAGAUAGCUGGUUACUUAGGAAAAGGAUGUAAGUCCAACUUUAAAUCUCCACACUAACCAUCAAUAGCCCAAUAGAUUUAAAUUUCAUUCAAAUAAGGUACAGCCUAUUUGAAACAGGAUACAACCUACAAUACAGGGUAAUGCCCCGAUCUUAUGACCAAGUGGGCCUAAGAGCAGCCACCUUUCAAAGAGCGUUACAGCCUCAUCACAUUUUUCUCCAAUCCCGAUUCAAAUCCAAAACCCUUCACCGAUACUGAGUGACUCCAUAUUAAUAUAGAAACCCUUAUGUUAAAACUAGUAACAAGAAUAGCCAUUCUCCUACAAACGUAAAUGUAAGCCGGACUGAACCCCUCACCGGCACUUACCGCCGAUGAGUCAACAGUAGCAACUCACACAAGAAAACCCCACUCAUCCCAGCGUUAACCUUACACUAGAACUCUCCAGGAAAGAUUAAAAAAAGAGGAAGGAAUUCAGCAAACAUUAACCCCGCCUGUUUACCAA